UUCUUCAUCUUCCAGCUUUUACAUCAAAUCCCAAUUUGUUCUCUAAACUGUGGUACCCGACAGAAUCCAAGGUAGAGCUCAUAGAUGAUUCACCAAGCAAUGCUUCACAUUCCUCGGCUGCAUGGUGUGUCGAAGAGACCUGUAGGAACCCUUCUAACAUAUGCAGUUUUUCGGCCAAUUCUCUCAUUGAAGGCCUUUCAUCCCCAUUCAUGUUCAAACAUUCCUUUGCAAGCUCGGCAAUUUCUUGGAUGACAUCCAUGUUUUCUUUUCCCAUGAUUUGAUCAUCCAAUAUCUCUUCAAGUCGGCUAUCUUUCAUUGCUUCGAUGAAGCUUGAGGCAAGACAUUUUCCUUGACUACUCCCAUCGUAAUAAAUUGCCUUUAUCCUUGUGAUGAGCUCCAUCAAAACUACUCCAAAGCUAUAUACAUCACUCUUUGCUGUUAGUUGUCGAACUAACAAGUACUCUGGGUCCAAAUAACCAAGAGUUCCCUGGACCAUCGUUAUGAAUUGAGUUUCGUCUAAAGACAUCAUCCUCGAUGCACCGAAAUCCGAUACCUUUGGCACGUAGUUAUGAUCUAGAAGUAUGUUGAGCGACUUCACAUCUCCAUGAAUGAUCGGUGGGGAUGCCGAUGAAUGCAAGUAAGCGAGUGCCUCUGCGGAUUCUCUGGCUAUUCGUAGACGAAUAGUCAAGGGAAUUAGUUUCCCAUCGUUAUCAUGGAUGAACUCGAAGAGGGUUCCGUUGGGGAUGAACUCAUAAACCAACAUAGGAAUUUCUACUUCCAAGCAACAACCCAAGAGCCUUACAAUGUUCUUGUGAUUGAUCUGAGAAAGAAUAAUCAUCUCCCGUACGAAUUCUUCACUUUGGUCCUCGGUGACUACCUUAGACCUCUUGAUGGCCACUUCCCUGCCAUCGUCUAGGUAUCCUUUGUAAACGGUGCCAUGGCCUCCUCGCCCAAGUUCUCGACUCUUGUCGAAAUUAUCUGUUGCUUUCUCUAUAUCCUCUUUGGUGUAUAUUUUGACAGUAUCAAUUUGCUUUGAUCUGAUUUCUUCGUAUAACCUCAAACCACCAUUUUGUUGGAAGAAUUUAUCUUUUUCUCUAAGAAGCUUCCUUCUUUGAAACGUUAAGAUUACGCAGAAGAUACAAGUAAUGAACGAAACAAGCCCAACACAACUGCCUGCACAAAGGGAUGAGUUUCAUAUCAAUUAUUUUGCAAACUCUUUCGGAGAUCGAAUUCCAAGUUUCCAAAAUAGUAGAUUGUUACUGACGAGGCCUAUUAAUGAAGAUCAAAAGGAUAAGAAAUUUCAAGCUUUUUUUAAAGUAGGAUGACUUGAUCGAAAUAAAAACUCGAAUCCGAAUAGAUUAUUUUUUUCUUCUGAUUCAAGUUUUAAGAGAAGGUUUAAGCUAAUACGGAAGGAAGGAUGAGAACUUGUACCUAUAACAAUCUUCGUUGAUGUCGGAAUUCCGUGAUCUUGGACGCAUGGUUCCGAUUUAGGGUCCUUGCUGCUGUGACCUUUUGGGCAAGAGCACCUGUAGUUGCCUGCUGUGUUGCUGCACGUUCCAUGACAUGGAUACUGCGUUGGUAAGCUGCACUCGUCGAUAUCUAAGGAUUGUCAAAGAAUCACGAGGGAAAAUUGUAAGACCACAUACAACAAUCGAAAAUAGGAGAGUUGGGGGAGAGAUGCAUGCUGACCUUUGCAUCCAUCUUGGAGGUAAGGAUUGCCAUGGAAACCUGUGGAGCAAUUGCAGAUAUAGCCAUCUAAACUGGUGGAGUCGAAACAUUUACUGUUGGUGCUGCGGCAUGCAUAUGAAGAAGGGUUUCUCUUAGCCUCCGCGCAGGUCUGUCUGCCGGCUACCCAGUCCAGCACGAGUGGGACGCCGUCCUUGUACUUGUCAUAAAAGUUGUAGUUGCGGAGGUAGGACUCGUCGAAGGCGAACCCGUCCUGGUCGGCAACGAAGGUAAAAGUGCAGGGGAUGUAGUCCCUGUAGGAUGAAGAAACAUUAAUGAAAUAGGCCAUCCCGGUCGUAAAAUUUUCCAGCUUCUCCGGGAUGGUGGUCUGGCAGCAGCCGGUGCCAGAGCACGAUCCGCUUGUGAUGUUUGCCCCUCCGAAGCAGAAGGAGGCGCACCCGGUUCCUAAUGAAUAGUUGUCCCCGCCUAUGACGAUGCCAAUGACGUUGCAGCCCAUGGUCGUGAACCUGUUCUUGGUGCUGGAUACCCAAAAUGGUUUGUCGCCAAGGUCUAGAGUAGGUCUUCGACCAGCCACCCAGUCGUUGGUACUGUUGAAACAAUCCCAGCUAACGUAAUUCAGGAUGCGUGCUUGGCCCUGCGGCAAGAUUAUCUCCUCAACUGUAAUGUUCCUCUCGCGGCCGACCAAGAAAGCUCUGGGAGUCGCAGAGCCGUUACCGACUUCGCAAGUGACCUCGAAGCCUUCCCUGAAACACCCAUCGCCGAUGCCGAAGGGGUACGGGAUGCUAAUACCGCCGCAUGUCUCAUUGCAACGGGGUGACACCACGUUCGGCGACGGUGGCGCCGAUGCUGCUGCAGUCGUUGCUGCUUGCAGCAGCGUCAACAACAACAACAGCUGAAACGCGAACAGUGGCAGCGUGGAUCCCAUUGCUUAUGCUUGCUUGAAAUUGAUGGUACCCUUCAGGCUUCCAUCAGAUUUAUAAGCCAACAGAUGGCGUAGCGUGCUUAAUUCCUUCUAAAAUCGAGUGGCAUAUAAUAAUUGCUUGAUCCAAUACUCGUUCUGCAGCCCAAGUGAAGACUUAUCAAGACGAAGCCAUGACACGGCAAAUACAAGAAGACCCUGUCGCUUGGAAAACUGGACAGUGACUUGUACAGAUCCCGUCUAAGUCUUCUUUUAAGAUUACAGAAAGUUGGAGCUGUGAUCGGUACAGGAGGCCUCCUCGCAGUUUGACUCUGGAAUCCACACCCAACCGAAGACUUGCUUGCUUAAUCCAAAUACAAAUAAGUAACGCCAAUUUUUCAGUAACAGCCCCCCUUCCUCUCUCUCUCUCUCUCUCUCUCUCUCUCUCUCUGUACACGAGGCGCUUCCGGCGUCAUUUGGCCGCUGAUUCCCUACGUGACUUGGGAUCAACGGUUGAAUAGUGAAGUACAAGGAGAGCAGCGACUGCGUGUUUGGAACUAAAUCUAGCAGCUUAUGGAGGGCUCGGUCUUUCUCCUGGUUUGGAUUUGUGUUCUUUCUUUAUGCCGAAAGGAAUCAGUUUGGAUAUGCAUGGGAUGUAAGCUUCUUGUUAUUUUUGUCUUGAUGUCAGCUUCAAGAUAAGAGCUGUAGAGGAGAAGAAUAGAGAAACUUCAAAUUAAUUUUUUUUUUAUUGAACAUCAUUGCUUAUAAUUUAACGUACCGUUGAAUAUUUAGAUUUUACUUAUUUAUUUUAUUUGGCUCUACCUCAUUUCCCCUUCCUUUUUCUUAUUAUUUGUAGAGUAUAAUAUUACAUUAGCAAUCUAUUUCCACUACAUUUGACUUCAACUACCACAAAAAACCUAUCUUAGAUGAGACUCUUAAAUCAAUAUCUUAUCUAACCAUAAAGUUUAAGAAAAUAUUCCAAUACUCCUUUCAAACUAGAGUUUUACAUAGAAAAAGAAAUAUAUGUAUUACAAUCCAUCAUACCAAUAGUCAAUGAUAAGAAGAAGGUACUUUAAGUGCCCUUAGAUUUUGUUUUAAUUAUGGCAACCUAAAACAUCAAUAGAGUGGGCCACAUGAUCGGUAUGAUGUCACGAUAGUAAUGUUCAAUGGUUCAGACGAUUCAUCACACUCAGACAACCUUAAUUAUUCUAUAAAUAAACUCCGGCUUAUUUAUGAUGGACAGACACUAUAGAAUCAUAUAUAAAAAAGCUCUUGAAACCCUAUGAAUUCUACAUUACUGUUCCCCAGCAUUACUAACUUAAAGCAUAUGCACGCCCUCCAUUUACAGACGAGGUCAGACUUGUCGAAGGAGAACCCUAAUGAAGUCAUAGGUGCGGGGGGUGUAGUCAUCGUAGGAAGAUAGAUCGACGAAAUAGGCCGACCAGGUCGUCAAAUAAUAGUCCGGUUUCGCCAGGAUGGUUGUCUUUUAGCAGCCGGUGCCAUGGCAGUGAAGAAUAUUUAUUGAAGAAAUGAAAAAUGCUUCAAUACAAGAAGAAGGAUUUCCCUCAACAGAAUAGAGGAUUUUUCUCAACAGAAUAGAGAGAUUUAUCUUAAAUAAUGGUUUACGAGCGAUGUAAAUAAUAGUUUACGAGCAAGAGGCUUUGUGAGGAUUAGUCACGGAGCCUCUUAGGAAUUUGGCUGCAGUGACGUUGGUCGCUGGCCGAAGGCAAGAGCGAAGCUUGCUUUUCUCAACAACGUCGAUUGCCUGGCCGAAGACAAGAGCAAAGCUUCGCUUUUUUCACUGCUCUAAUACCAUGAAAAAAAUAAUAGAAGAUAAGAACAAUUAUUGAAGAAGUGAAGAAUAUUUAUUGAAGAAAUAAAAAAUGCUUCAAUACAUUAAUAUUUCCCUCUCCUAUUUAUAGAGAUUGAGGAAGGAUAACGGUUUAAAUGAUCACGCGAUGUCAUUCAGGAUAUGUCCUUAUCUGUAAUGUUCCUCUUGCCGCCGCCCAAGAAAGCUCUGGGAGUUGCAGAGCCGUUAACCACAUCGCAAGUGACCUCGAAGCCUUCCCUGAAACACCCAUCGCCGAUGCCGAAGGGGUACGGGAUGCUAAUAACGCAGCAUGUCUCUUUGCAAUGUGGUAACAACUCGUUGGAAGCUGAAGCUGUGAUUGGUGUAGACCUUUCCGAAGACCCUAUGAAGUCUACAUCAUGACUCUUCCCCAGCAUUGCUAACUUAAAGCAUAUGCACGCCCUGCAUUUUUAUAUGAUCCCUGCCGAACCCUCACGCUCUCUUAUACCAAACUUAUGAUAGACUCAAAUGCAAACAAGGUUGACUUCCACAGACUGACAAUCGAACAAACAGGGAUUGUUAUUUGUUCCACAUCAAGUAGUGCUAUUUGUUCUAUUCCAACAACAACAGGUAGUGCAUUGAUCUCAUUUAUUAGAACCAAAAUGUUGGAUAACAUGUAUGUAUAAAUGUGGUUUACUUCCAUGCUAUUGAAUUUUGGAGUAAGAGAUGCCAAAUCUAUAUAUAUAUAUAUAAAUACUUGCCAAAGAUUGUUCCUAUUGAUGUUAACAUAUGUUUUUAAAUUCAUUAAUUAACUAUAAUUUUCUAUUAAAACCACAAAUUUUUCUUAUUUUCAAAUAUUUUAUUUUAUUGAUAAAUCCUAUGCAUACCUUUUAAAAAUUUUAUUAUAUGAAAAAUAUAAGUACUAAUAUGGAAUUAAUGCCCUGGCCGAUAACUCAACAACACGUAGGUGAUAAAUGAUAGACCCAUCGAUAGUUCGAGACUAUAUAUAUAAUGUGUGGCCGACAUCUUGACACCACAAAGGUGGCAAGCGUCAACACCAUGUUGACGACAAGUGGUUGACAUGCCGACAACCUAAGGUCACGUAGACAACACACGAUGGACACCUCGACAUUUGGACUAAGUUUGAAUAAUCAAUGUGUGUCUUGCAUUUGGCGCAUCAUGACACCAAGACCCUAAUUAUAUUUGAUGAUCUUGAAAGUAAUGAUCCUUAGAGUCCAUCGUAAAAGGGACUCCAUAAAAGGAACUCUCUUCAAGUGCUCAUCCAAACUAUCCGAGUCCAAAAUUGACUUGAGUAUCAGAGGAGCAUUCGUCAAGAAUAAUCUCGAUGUAAUUUUAUAAGUUUGACACCUAUAGAGUCAGUAAUAACUAGAAUUUAUGAUGAGACUAACAUGGGAAGGAGCAUCGGCUUUGAAUCCAUUUUAGAUCAAACAAUUAAAAAUUACACUAAUAGUUUGACGCUAGAAGGAAGGUUUGAGAUGUUUAAGAAAAACUUUACUACAUCAUCUCAACUAAAUCUUGAAGAUCCAAACCCGACUGAACUGAUCGAUAGUCAAACCUACUGCACCCGCCUUUCAAAUGCUCGAACCAUUGGUCUUCCAUCAAUUGUUCUACGAUUCGGUGGCUAUAUAUAUAUAAUUUUUUUUAUAAAAAUUAAAAACAAAAUUUAUUAUAUGAAAUGACGUAUAUAUUGCUCACACAUGGAUUCAAGUUUGAAAUCUAUUACAUGUACAAUAAUGUACUAAUCAACUCAGAUAUUUCAACAAAAAAUAAAAGAAUUAAUUAUAUUGCUUACUGUAAUAAGUAUGUAAAUAAUUUAAGAGAAUAUGUUAUUUAUAUAACAUGUGAGAUUUUUAAGGGGUUUGGAAAAAUUAUAGAUCAUACUAUUGUAUUUUACUCGUAUUGUAACAAUUUUUUUAUUUUUUUCAAACGAAAUUGGUCACCCCAAUUCUCUUUUUUUUGUAAAAAAAAACUCGAUCACCCUCUUUUAAAUAAAAAAGAGAGAAUAAAAAAUUGAUACAGUCAAAUCAAAUUGGCAAUUGAGAUUGAAAGCGGAAGUGUGAUGUAUGGUUUUUUGAGGAACCUUCGCCACCCAUAUAAAUAGGUAUUCAGAUUAUGCAUACCAAUGGACGUGAGGUUAACUUGGGAUCAACCGUUGAAUAGUCAACGACAAGGAUAGCCACUUCAAACUAAAUCUCUUGGCUUCAUUUACCUCUACAUUUAUCUCCUCCUCUCUUCUUCUUGUUAUUUCUAAAUUAGUAUUUCAUGAGCCAUCUAUUUUCACUACUUUGAUUUCAACUACCACAAAUAAUCUUAUCUUAAAUAGGACUCUUAAAUCAAUAUCAGAUCUAAUCAUAAAGCUUAAGUUAAUAUUCCAAUACUUCCUUUAAACUCGAGUUUUACAUAGAAAAAGAAAUACAAAUUACAAUACUGAGAGUUACAAUCCAUUAUAAAUUUAUUUAUCAUGCUUGUAAUAGAAGUAACAUAAGUUACAAAACAAGUAACCAAGAACAGUCUGUUCUGCUAGUUCGAUUUUAACAUAGAGAGAGAACAUAGUUUCUUUAUCUGCUUCAUCUUCCAGCUUUUACAUCAAAUCCCAAUUUGUUCUCUAAACUGUGGUACCCGACAGAAUCCAAGGUAGAGCUCAUAGAUGAUUCACCAAGCAAUGCUUCACAUUCCUCGGGUGCAUGGUGUGUUGAAGAGACCUGUAGGAACCCUCCUAACAUAUGCAGUUUCUCAGCCACUUCUCUCAUCGUAGGCCUUUCAUCCCCAUUCAUGUUCAAACAUUCCUUUGCAAGCUCGGCAAUUUCGUGGAUGACAUCCAUGUUUUCUUUUCCCAUGAUUUGAUCAUCCAAUAUCUCUUCAAGUCGGCUGUCUUUCAUUGCUUCGAUGAAGCUUGAAGCAAGAGCUUUUCCUUGAUUGCUCCCAUCAUAAUAAAUUGCCUUUUUCCUUGUGACGAGCUCCACCAAAACUACUCCAAAGCUAUAGACAUCACUCUUUGCUGUCAGUUGACGGACUAGCAAGUACUCUGGGUCCAAAUAACCAAGAGUUCCCUGGACCAUCGUUAUGAAUUGGGUUUCGUCUAUAGAUAUCAUCCUCGAUGCACCAAAAUCCGAUACCUUUGGCACGUAGUUAUGAUCUAGAAGUAUAUUGAGCGACUUCACAUCUCCAUGAACGAUCGGAGGGGAUGCUGAUGAAUGCAAGUAAGCGAGUGCUUCUGCAGAUUCUCUGGCUAUUCGUAGACGAGUAGUCAAGGGAAUUAGUUUCUCAUUAUUGUCAUGGAUGAAGUCGAAGAGGGUUCCAUUGGGUAUGAACUCAUAAACCAACAUGGGAAUUUCGACUUCCAAGCAACAACCCAAGAGCCUUACAAUAUUCUUGUGAUUGAUCUGAGAAAGAAUAAUCAUCUCCCGUACGAAUUCUUCACUUUGGUCCUCGGUGACUACCUUAGACCUCUUGAUGGCCACUUCCCUACCAUCGUCUAGGUAUCCUUUGUAAACGGUGCCAUGGCCUCCUCGCCCAAGUUCUCGACUCUUAUCGAAAUUAUCCGUUGCCUUCUCUAGAUCCUCUUUAGUGUAUAUUUUGACAGUGUCGAUUUUCUUUGAUCUGAUUUCUUCAUAUAACCUCAAGCCUCCAUUUUGCUGGAAGAAUUUAUCUUUUUCUCUAAGAAGCUUCCUUCUUUGAAACGCUAAGAUUAUGCAGAAGAUACAAGUAAUGAACGAGACAAUCCCAACACAACUGCCUGCACAAAGGGAUGAGUUUUCAAAAUAGAAGAUUGUUACCGACGAGGCCUAUUAACGAAAUUUAAAAGGAUAAGAAAUUUCAAGCUUUUUUUAAGAAGGAUGACUUAAUCGAAAUAAAAACUCAGAUUAUUUUUUUCUUCUGAUUGAAGUUUUAAGAGAAGGUUUAAAGCUAAUACGGAAGGAAGGAUGAGAACUUGUACCUAUAACAAUCUUCGUUGAUGUCGGAAUUCCUUGAUCUCGGACACAAGGUUCCGAUUUAGGGUCCUUGCUGCUGUGACCUUUUGGGCAUGUGCAGCUGUAGUUGCCUAAUGUGUUGCUGCACUUUCCAUAACAUGGAUACUGAUUUGGUAAGCUGCACUCGUCGAUAUCUAAGGAUUGUCAAAGAAUCACAAGGAUAAAUUGUAAGACCAUAUACAACAAUCGAAAACAGGAGAGUUGGGGGAGAGAUGCAUGCUGACCUUUGCAUCCAUCUGGGAGGUAAGGAUUGCCUUGGAAACCUGUGGAGCAAUUGCAGAUAUAGCCAGGUAGACUGGUGGAGUCGAUACAGUCACUGUUGCUGCAUGCAAAUGAAGAAAGGUUUCUCUUAGCCUCCUCGCAGGUCUGGUUGCCGGCUACCCAGUCCAGCACGAGUGGGACGCCGUCCUUGUACUUGUCUCUAAAGGUGUGGUUGCGAAGGUCAGACUUGUUGAAGUAGAACCAGUCCGUGUCGGCAAUGAAGGCAUAGGAGCAGGGGCUGUAGUCCGUGUAGGAAGAAAUAUCGAAGAAAGUGGCAAACGUGACCGUAAAAUUGUCCAGCUUCUCCGGGAUGGUGGUCUCGCAGCAGCCGGCGCCAUGGCACGAUCCGAUUGCGAUGCUUGCCUCUUCGAAGCAGCCGGAGACGCACCCGGCUCCCAAUGUAUAGUUGUCCCCGCCUAUGAGGAUGCCAAUGACGUCGCAGCCCAUGGUCGUUAACUCGUUCCUCGUGCCGGAUACGCUAAACGGAAGGCCACUGAGGUUGAUUGAAGAUCCUUGAUCAUCCACCACGUCGCCGGUACUGUUGAAACAAAGCCAGGCGAUGUCAUUCAGCACGCUUGCUUGGCCCUGGAGCAAGGAUAUGUUCUGAACUGUAAUGUUCCUCUCGCUGCCGCCCAAGAAAGCUCUGGGAAUCGCGUUAACGACUUCGCAAGUGACCUCGAAGCCGUCCCUGAAACACCCAUCGCCGAUGCCGAAGGGGUACGGGAUGCUAAUACCGCCGCAUGUCUCAUUGCAAUGUGGUGACACCACGUUCGGCGACGGUGGUGCCGAUGCUGCUGCAGUCGUUGCUGCUUGCAGCAACGUCAACAACAACAACAACAGCAGAAACGCGAACAGUGGCAGCGUGGAUCCCAUCGCUUAUGCUUGCUUGAAAUUAAUGGUACCCUUCAGGCUUCCAUCAGAUUUAUAAGCCCACAGAUGGGGGAAGCGAGCUUAAUUCCUUCCAAAAUCGAGUGGCAUAGAAUAAUUGCUUGAUCGAAUACUCGUUCUGCAGCCCAAGCGAAGACUCGUCAAGGCGAAGCCAGCACACGGCAAAUACAAAGAUCCUUUUACAUAAAUUCGAUAAGACAUGAAGCUCCAAUUACUUGGUGCCAAAAGGCAAAACGAAGACUUGCCAAGAGAGUCCGUCAACGGUUGAUUUAGUCACCGACAAGGAUAGAAGCCGGAUGGGUAUGGAAGAAAAUUACCAGCGUCGAUUGCAAAACGCAGUGUGUGAGAAGAAUCACUUGGCAGACGAGACAAAGAUUUUUGUGACUUCUGAUAGGUUGAUUAUAAUGUUUCUGUGAACCAAGUUUUCCUCCUAAAACGACACUUGAAAGCCAUCUCAUAAAACUAUUUAGGAGACUCGGAUCUGAAUAUUCUUUUGCUUUUAUAAUUUCUAGACCUAUAAUCUAUUAGAAAUGUACAGUAAUAACAUUUUAUGCGUUAUAUAUUUAUGUCUUUAAUAUUUUGCAAGAGGAUUAACAGAAAAGCAAAAGCUGCGGUAUUACUAAAACAUAUUUAGUCUUUGAAUUCAACCAAUUAAACUCUUAAUACACAGUAUUAUUAUUAUUAGCAAAAAUACAAAGAAAUAUAAAAUGAUGGUUUUUGAGCAUUUUUGUAACAGUACUUUCCUGCUAUCUUUUUUUCACGGGAGUCAACCUAAAAUUGAUUGCUGACUUUUCUACAUGAAAAGUCACAUCAGCAACAUUGAUUGCUGACUUUUCCUGCUUACUGCUCACUGACUGAUAUGGACGAGAGGUGGAAUAUUUAGCUACUCAAAGAUGGCGACAUGUUACUUGCACUGUGUUUUAAUAAUUAAGGCCAAUAAAGUUUUUGAUGAUUAUUAAUUAUACGAAAUCUUAUAUAUUAUAUUAAUAAUGUUUUUAAAGAAUUUUUUAUUACAUUAAAUGGUGUAUAAGAUGCUCACAUGAAUUCGAAUCGAGAUCCAUCGAUUGUGAAACAAUACAAUAACCAUUAAAAUGUCUCGAUAGAUAUAUUGUAUUAAGUAGUUAGUCAAAUGGUUGGUUAUAUUUAAAUUCGAUCAUUCGAUGAAAAUUACUUCAAAAGAUAAACAAAAAUAGAAGUAGAGGAAGUGAAUAUAGGCCUCGAAAGAUUAAAGAGAAAGAUAUUGAAUUUAUAUAGUUCUUAUCAUCAUCAUCAUCAUUACCAUCAUCUUACAUUCUAUAUUGUUAAUUUUAAAAUGAUUAAAAGUCAAGCAAGUCACCUUCUCAAAGUUUAUAAUCGAAAAAAAAAGAGAGCUAGAAGUAAUCAAGGAAUUUGAUGAGGUCAAAUUUGAUUAUUCUAUUGAACAAGGAAUCCAUAAAUAUAAAAAAUAAAAUAUUGAGUGAUAACUAAAAAAAAGUAUAUCCAAGAGUAGAAGAAGUUAAUGUGUUAUCUAGAGAUCUUUUAUAUACUUUAUUAUUAUGAAAAGUAAUCAUCAAAUUUGAUGAGACAUUGAUGAUGACCUAUCGAAAGAUCUUUUAUAUAUCUUAUUAGUACGAAAAGUAGUCAUCAAAUUUGUUGGAAUACUGAUGAUGACCUAUCAAAAGAUCUCCUACAUAUCUCGUUACCAUGAGAAGUAGUCAUCAAAUUUAUUGGAACAUUGAUGAUGACGUAUCGAAGGAUCUCUUAUAUAUCAAUCAAAUUUGUUAAGACACAAAAAAUGAUAUAUUUUCAAUGUGAGAGUUCAUAAGAAUAUAGUGUAUGAGUAGUGUAGCUAACUAUUUUUCAAAGCAAAAAAAAAUUAUUACGAUGAUAAUAUAUUUAUAAAAAAUAAAAUAAAAUUUUAUUAUAUUAAAUGACUCACAGGAUGCUACUUAAACCUGAGACUUAUUAUUGUACAAUAAUAAGUUAACGAAUCAGAUAUUUUAAUAGAGACUACACUACUCCACUCUAUAUUGGAGCCAUCCAUGUCCUCAUUAUUUAGCUUCGUGACACAUCAAUAAUUUUUUAUUUUUGGAAUUUAUUACGAAUUCUCAGCUGCUACAAAGCAUAGUGUUAGAAUCCAUAAUAUUCUUAAUUAUCCAGAAGCAAACAGAGAAUAAAUAAGUUUCAGGAGAAGCACCAACUUAAACAUUUUUUUUGAUCCUGCUAAUAUUGUCUUUUCAACAAAGGAAGUGAUGCCAUUUUACUUGAAAGUUCAUCGUCUUCCGACUUCUAUAUCAAAUCCUAUUUUAUUCUGUAAACUAUGGUAAUUUGUACUGUAUAAGUGGGAAACGUUGAUGAUUCACCAAGCAAUCUUUGGCACUCUUCAGGAACAUGUUGCGUGGAAGAUCGUCGUUGGAGCCCUCUUAGUGUAUAUGGAGCUUCUCGGCCAAUUCUCUCAUUGUGGGCUUUUCUCUCCCUCAACACUCAAACACUCCUUUGCAAGCUUGGCAAUUUCUUGAAGGAUAUCCAAGCUCUCCUUCCCUGUGAUUUGAUCAUCCAACAUCUCUUUUGAGCUUGUUAUCUUCGUUGCUUCAAUAAAGCUUGAUGCAAGGCAUUUUCUUUAACUAUUUCGAUCAUAAUAAAUUAAAUUAUCUUCUGACUAUUUCGAAAUGGUAGACAUCACACUUUAUUGUUAAUCAUCAUUAUGAACUGAGCUUCAUCAAUAGAUAAUAGUCUCGAUGCACCAAAAUAGAAAUUAUGAUCUACGUUGAAGGAUGGGAGGAGAAGUCAACGAGUGCAAGUAGGCAAGUGCUUCUGUAGAUUCUUCAGCUAUCCAUAGACAAGUAGCCAAAGAAAUUAAUUUCUGUCAUCCGCAUGGAUAAAGUUAAAAGAAUGUUUUAUUGGGGAUAAAAUCAUAAUUUAAUAUGGAAAUCUUCACCUUCAAGUCUUAUCAACUUCUUAUGAUUUAUGAUUGAUCCGACAAAGAAUGAUCAUCUCAGUUUUCUUGUCUUUGAAGUUUUGGUGUUCAGUUUAAUUUCCCAAGCAAAAUAGUAGAGGUAAUAUAUACAUAUAGUAAUACCAUCACCUCGAAUAUUGUAUAGUAAGUAGAUUUGUUGGAGAGUAAUUGUUGGAGUUGCUUUGUCACACUUAGAUUUUGGCAUGGAAAUUGACGAGGGAAGGUGUAACUCGUCGAUCAUACACACACGUCGGUGCUUCCCACACCGGUAAGGCCGCCCGAAAGAACAUCCACGCCGCCACACGGGUGAUGCCUUCCUUGGAAAGGCCUUACCAUAUUGAUACUAUCCACAUGCUGAAAGAAUAAGGUGCAAAUCCAAAAUAUAUGAUGUAGAAAUAAUUUAGUUUAUGUAUUAUUUGAAUUUUUUAUUAAUUUAGGGAUAAUUUGCAUAUCACAUAAGUUGUCAUGAGGUAGCAUUUAUUCAAGGCAAUGAAUAUAGAAAAAAAAGGGGAAGAAAUUAAAUUCAUUAUUGAUCGAAGAUUAUAAAUCUUGAUUAAAGAUUUUAAAAUUUUAUCUAUACAAAUAUAUUUUUUUAUUAAUCAAUAAUUGUAAUUAUCUCUAUAAAUUUAAAAUAUUGAAAGAUUUUUCUAAAAAAAAGGUCAAGAAUAUUAUUUUUUAAAGAAAAUAAAAAUAUUAUAUAUUUAAUUUAAUAUAAUUAUAAUUAUUUUUAUUUCUAUAUAUUUAUUUAUUUAUUCUGAGCCCUUAAAAAGAACUGGAACAUUAUAAUAGAUAACCAAAAAUUGAUCAAUAAAUUAUGUUCUUCGCAUGUGUCAAUGUAGGAAUCGUAUUUUUUUCUUAUGGAAUGAUUUCAUCGUCCACGUGAGAAACUUAUGAAAAUAUGGGAUCUUCAUCUUCAUAGUAUUUUUCAUUAGUUAGAAUCAUUUAUCUUUUGAUUAUUAUCAUUCUCAUCCUUUUAGUCCUUCAUCAUAAAAAAUAAAAAUAUUUACUACAAUUGAGCUACCGGUAGUAUGAAUUACUACCAUAAUCUUUUCUAUUACUAUAUAAACUUAAAGAAAAAAGAAUAAAUAUUACAAGAGAUCCUGCCUCCCAUGCUGUCUUCGACAAUAGAUUUGAGCCUCCUAGUGAUUCAGGGCCCUCAUUGUCGGGCGAGAUCCAGAUCCAAAACACCCUACCACCAUUGAGGAAUGAAAGCUUCUUCUACGAUUCCUAAAGAAUUUCGCCAAAAUAUGAGGCACUGUUGUGAUGCCUCCUACUAGGGUUUCGCCCUCGCCCUAAGAUGAUUGGGGUUGAAGACGGUAUUUGAAAUCUAUAGUUUUGUGCUUGCAUUGGCUACAUCAUCCUUGUUGCCACCGAAUUGCCAAGAGAUCUCCCUCUGAGUGAGAUCGAGAGGACAAAAGAACAUAAGUAUUAAAAGAACUAUAAAGAACUAGAACAACUAAACAAAUUAAUCAUAGAGAGAGAAAGCUUAUAAAAAAACACGAUUAGAGAAUAAAUAGUAUGAAUACACAAAACAAUAAUAAUUUAAUCAAGAUGCCUUUUUAUUUUUAUUUUGUGAGCUUUGUCAUAAAUUAAUUGUAGAACUAAAGAGAUUUAAACUCAAAACCUCGUCGAAAGUUUUUACCAGCUAAUAUAGUUAGCAUGGAAGGUGUGCGAUCUGAUAAGAUAAUUAGUCUCUUAAUUUAUUUAAAUUAAAAUUAAACUAAGAUAAUUAGCUCCUUCUUAGAUGUUGGAAGAAGUCUUCUUCUCUCCUUCCUUUUGAGAGAGAUUGAGAUACUAUGAGCAUCUUAUUAUCCAAGUCUGAAUUCAUUCUUACUGAAUUCAAAUAUACUAUGAGCAUCUUAUUAUCCAAGUCUGAAUUCAAAUAUAUACACUUAAUUUUUUUAUAAAAAUAGAAAACAAAUUUCAUGACAUGAAAUGAUGCAUAUAAUAUUCACACAUGGAUCCAAGUCAGAAACCUAUCACUUGUAGGAUAAUACACUAACCAAAUACGUGUAUUUGAGUUUAAAAUCUAUCACUUGUAUAUUAAUACACUAACCAACUUACAAAUCUCAACAAAGAUUAAAAGAAUUAAUUAUAUCACUUACUCUCAUAAGUAUGUAAAUAAUUUAAAAGAAGAUGUUAUUUAUAUAACAUGUGAAAUUUUUAAGGGACUCGGUAAAACUAUAUAUCAUACUCUUUUAUUUUAUUCUAUCACAUUUUUUUAAAUUUUUUUUGAAAGAAAUUGAUCAUCUCUCUUUUAAAUAAAAAGAAAGAAUAAAAAUUCGAUACAAUGAAAUCAAAUGGCCCAUAUAAAUAGGUCUUCAAAUUAUGCAUACCAAUGGACUUGAGGUUAACUUGGGAUCAACCGUUGAAUAGUCAACGACAAGGAUAGCCACUUCAAACUAAAUCUCUUAGCCUCUUUUACCUCUACCUAAUCUCCUCCUCCCUUCUUCUUGUUAUUUCUAAAUUAGUAUUUCAUUAGCCAUCUAUUUUCACUACUUUGAUUUCAACUACCACAAAUAAUCUUACCUUAAGUAGGACUCUUAAAUCAAUGUCUAAUCUAAUCAGAAAGCUUAAGUUAAUAUUCCAUUACUUCCUUCAAACUCGAGUUUUACAUAGAAAAAGAAAUAUAAAUUACAAUAUUGAGAGUUACAAUCCAUUAUACUUUUAUUUAUCAUGUCUGUGAUAGAAGUAACAUAAGUUACAAAACAAGCAACCAAGAACAGUCUAUUGUUCUACUAGUUCGAUUUGAACAUAGAGAGAGAACCUUGUUUCUUUAUCUUCUUCAUCUUCCAGCUUUUACAUCAAAUCCCAAUUUGUUCUCUAAACUAUGGUACCCGACAGAAUCCAAGGUAGAGCUCAUGGAUGAUUCACCAAGCAAUGCUUCACAUUCCUCGGGUGCAUGGUGUGUUGAAGAGACCCGUAGGAACCCUCCUAACAUAUGCAGUUUCUCAGCCACUUCUCUCAUUGUAGGCCUUUCAUCCCCCUUCAUGUUCAAACAUUCCUUUGCAAGCUCGGCAAUUUCGUGGAUGACAUCCAUGGUUUCUUUUCCAAUGAUUUGAUCAUCCAAUAUCUCUUCAAGUCGACUAUCUUUCAUUGCUUCAAUGAAGCUGAAGGCAAGAGCUUUUCCUUGACUACUCCCAUCAUAAUAAAUUGCCUUUUUCCUUGUGAUGAGCUCCACUAAAAUUACUCCAAAGCUAUAUACAUCACUCUUUGCUGUUAGUUGACGAACUAGAAAGUAUUCCGGGUCCAAAUAACCAAGAGUUCCUUGGACCAUCGUUAUGAAUUGGGUUUCGUCAAUAGACAUCAUCCUCGAUGCACCGAAAUCUGAUACCUUUGGCACAUAGUUAUGAUCUAAAAGUAUGUUGAGCGACUUCACAUCUCCAUGAACGAUCGGUGGGGAUGCCGAUGAAUGUAAGUAAGCAAGUGCUUCUGCAGAUUCUCUGGCUAUUCGUAGACGAGUGGUCAAGGGAAUUAGUUUCCCGUCGUUGUCAUGGAUGAACUCGAAGAGGGUUCCAUUGGGGAUGAACUCAUAAAUCAACAUGGGAAUUUCCACUUCCAAGCAACAACCCAAGAGCCGUACAAUGUUCUUGUGAUUGAUCUGAGAAAGAAUAAUCAUCUCCCGUAUAAAUUCUUCACUUUGGUCGUCGGUGACUACCUUAGACCUCUUGAUGGCCACUACCCUUCCAUCGGCUAUGUUUCCUUUAUAAACGGUGCCAUGGCCUCCUCGCCCAAUUUCUCGACUCUUAUCGAAAUUAUCUGUUGCUUUCUCUAUAUCCUCUUCGGUGUAUAUUUUGACAGUAUCAAUUUGCUUUGAUCUGAUUUCUUCGUAUAAUCUCAAGCCUCCAUUUUGCUGGAAAAAUUUAUCUUUUUCUCUAAGAAGCUUCCUUCUUUGAAACGCUAAGAUUAUGCAGAAGAUACAAGUAAUGAACAAGACAAGCCCAACACAACUGCCUGCACAAAGGGAUGAGUUUCAUGUCAAUUAUUUUGCAAACUCUUCCGGAGAUCGAAUAACGAGUUUCCAAAAUAUUGUUCGGACGAAGCCUAUUAAUGAAGAUUAAAAGGAUAAGAAAUUUCAAGCUUUUUUUAAGUAGGAUGACUUAAUCGAAAUAAAAACUCGAAUCUGAAUAGAUUAUUGUUUUUCUUCUGAUUGAAGUUUUAAGAGAAGGUUUAAGCUAAUACGGAAGGAAGGAUGAGAACUUGUACCUAUAACAAUCUUCGUUGAUGUCGGAAUUCCGUGAUCUCGGACACAUGGUUCCGAUUUAGGGUCCUUGCCGCUGUGACCUUUUGGGCAUGAGCAGCUGUAGUUGCCUGGGGUGUUGUUGCACUUUCCAUGACAUGUAUACAGAUUUGGCGAGCUGCACUCGUCGAUAUCUAAGGAUUGUCAAAGAAUCACAAGGGAAAAUUGUAAGACCACAUACAACAAUCGAAAACAGGAGAGUUGGGGGAGAGAUGCAUGCUGACCUUUGCAGCCAUCCUGGAGGUAAGGAUUGCCUUGGAAACCUGUGGAGCAAUUGCAGAUAUAGCCUUGUAAACUCGGGGACUUGAAACAUUCACUGUUGGUGCUGCGGCAUGCAUAUGAAGGGUUUCUCUUGGCCUCCUCGCAGGUCUGGUUGCCGGCUACCCAGUCCAGCACGAGUGGGACGCCGUCCUUGUGCUUGUCUUCAAAGGUGCGGUUGCCGAGGUCAGACUUGUCGAAGGAGAACCUUGCCUCGUCGGCAAUGAAGGCAUAGGUGCAGGGGCUGUAGUCCUUGUAGGAAGAAAUAUUGAUGAAAUAGGCCAACCCGGUCGUAAAAUUGUCCAGCUUCUCCGGGAUGUUGGUCUGGCAGCAGCCGGUGCCAGAGCACGAUCCGCUUGUGAUGUUUGCCCCUUCGAAGCAGAAGGAGGCGCACCCAGUUCCUGAUGUAUAGUUGUCCCCGCCUAAGAGGAUGCCAACGACGUUGCAGCCCAUGGUCGUGAACCUGUUCUUGGUGCUGGAUACCCAAAAUGGUUUGUCGCCAAGGUCUAGAGAAGGCCUUUGACCAGCCACCACGCCGUCGGUACUGUUGAAACAAUCCCAGCUAAUGUAAUUCAGGAUGCGUGCUUGGCCCUGGGGCAAGAAUAUCUCCUCCACUGUAAUGUUCCCCUCGCGACCGCCCAAGAAAGCUCUGGGAGUCGCAGAGCCGUUACCGACUUCGCAAGUGACCUCGAAGCCUUCCCUGAAACACCCAUCGCCGAUGCCGAAGGGGUACGGGAUGCUAACACCGCCGCAUGUAUCAUUGCAACCUGGUGACACCACGUUCGGCGACGGUGGUGCCGAUGCUGCUGCUGCCGUCGUUGUUGCUUGGAGCAGCGUCAACAACAACAGCUUAAACGCGAACGGUGGCAGCGUGAAUCCCAUCCCUUAUGCUUGCUUGAAAUUAAUUGUACCCUUAGGCUUCCAUCAGAUUUAUAAGCCCACAGAUGGCGAAGCGAGCAUAAUUCGUCGGUCAGCUGUUGUUGCUUAGAAUAAUUGCUUGAUCGAAUACUCGUUCUGCAGCCCAUGUGAAGACUUGUCAAGGCGAAGCCAGCACAUGGCAUAUACUAGAAAAUACAGUCGCUUGGAAAGCUGGAGAUUGACUGGUACAGGCCCCGUCCAAGUCUUCUUUAAGACUUGGACGGUACAGGAGGCCUACUCGCAGUUUGACUCUGGAAUCCACACCUACUCGAAGACUUGCUUGCUUGACUAUGCUUAAUCCAAGAGACAAAUAAUUAACGCCAAAUUUCCAGUAAAAGUCCCCUCUCUCUCUCUCUCUCUCUCUCUCUCUCUCUCUCUCUCUCUAUAGUUUUAUCCCUGCUUAAUGCUCGCUGAUUGGCAUGGUCGAGAGGUGGAAUAUUUGGCUACUGAAAGAUGGCGGCGACAUGCUAUUUGUAGUGUGUUUUAAUAAUUAAGGCCAAUAAAGUUGAUGAUUAUUAUUAAUUAUGUGAAAUCCUAUGUAUUAUAUUAUGAAUUUGUUUAAAAAGAUUAUUACAUUAAACGGAGUAUAAGAUGCUCACAUGAAUUCGAAUCAAGAUCCAUCAAUUGUGAAACCAUACAGUAACCAUUAGAAUGUCUCGAUAAAUAUAUUAUUAUAUUAAGUAGUUAGUCACAAAUUUGGUUAUAGUUUGGUUCAGUCGUCCAAUGGAAACUACUCCGAAAGCCAAACAAAGAAGAAGAAAGAGAAAGACAUUGACUUUAUGUAGUUCCUAUCAUCGUCAUCAUCAUCAUCUUAGCUUCUUAAUUGCCAUUUUUUAAAUGAUCAAAAGUCAAACAAGUCACCAUCUCAAAAUUUGUAGUCAGAGAGAAAGCAAGAGAGAAGUAACCAGGAAUUUGAUGAGGUCAAAUUUGAUUAUUCUAUUGAAUAAGGAAUUCAUAAAUAUAAAAAAAAAUAAGAAAUUGAGUGAUAACUAAAAGAAGUAAAUAUAAGCGUAGAAUAAAUAAAUAGGUUAUUUGAAGGAAUUCUUAUAUCUCUCGUUAUCAAAUUUGUCACGGCGAAGUAGCAAUCAAAUUUGUUACCGUGAGAAGUAGCAAUCAAAUUUGAAGGAUCUCUUAUAAUAUCUUGUUACCGUGAGAAGUAGCAAUCAAAUUUGAAGGAUCUCUUAUAAUAUCUUGUUACCGUGAGAAGUAGCAAUCAAAUUUGUUGAGACACAAAAAUUGAUAUAUUUUCAAUGUGAGAGUUCAGGAGAAUAUAGUGUAUGACUAGUGUAGCUAACUAUUUUUCAAAGCACUUAGUGUAGACAUUUGUAAAGGCUAGCACUUAGUGUAUGAGUAGUGUAGCUAACUAUCACCUUCUUAUGAUUUAUGAUUUAUGAUUGAUCCGACAAAGAAUGAUCAUCUCAGUUAUAACCUAUGUUUUCUUGUCUUUGACGUUUUGGUGUUCUGUUUAAUUUCCCAAGCAAAAUAGUAGAGGUAAUAUAUACAUAUAGUAAUACCAUCAUCGAUGACCUCGAAUAUUGUAUAGGAAGUAGAUUUGUUGGAGUUGCUACGUCACACUUAGAUUUUGGCAUGAAAAUUGACGAGAGAAAGUGUAACUCGUCAAUCAUACACACACGUCGGUGCUUCCCACACCGGUAAGGCCGCCCGAAAGAGCAUCCACGCCGCCACACGGGUGAUGCCUUCCUUGGAAAGGCCUUACCAUAUUGAUACUAAAAGAAUAAGGUGCAAAUCCAAAAUAUAUGAUGUAGAAAUAAUUUAGUUUAUGUAUUAUUUGAAUUUUUUUUUAUUAAUUUAGGGAUAAUUUGCAUAUCACAUAAGUUGUCAUGAGGUAGCAUUUAUUCAAGGCAAUGAAUAUAGAAAAAAAAAAUGGGAAGAAAUUAAAUUCAUUAUUGAUCGAAGAUUAUAAAUCUUGAUUAAAGAUUUUAAAUUUUUAUCUAUACAAAUAUAAUUUUUUUAUUAAUCAAUAAUUGUAAUUAUCUCUAUAAAUUUAAAAUAUUGAAAGAUUUUUCUAAAAAAAUGGUCAAGAAUAUUAUUUUUUAAAGAAAAUAAAUUAUUAUAUAUUUAAUUUAAUUUAAUUAAUUAAUUAAUUUAUUUAUUUAUUUCGAGCCCUUAAAAAGGACUAGAACAUUAUAAUAGAUAACCAGAAAUUGAUCAAUAAAUUAUGUUCUUCGCAUGUGUUAAUGUACGAGAUCAUAUUUGAUUUUCUUAUGGAAUGAUUUUAUCGUCCACAUGAGAAACUUGUGAAAAUAUAGGAUCUUCAUCUUCAUAGUGUUUUUCAUUAGUUAGAACCAUUUAUCUUUUGAUUAUUAUCAUUCUCAUCCUUUUAGUCAUUCAUCAUAAAAAUAUAUAUAUUUACUACAAUUGAGCUACUGACGGUAUGAAUUACUAUCAUAAUAUUUUCUAUUACUAUAUAAACUUAAAGAAAAAAGAACAAAUGUUACAAGAGAUCCUGUCUCCCGUGCUGUCUUUGACUAUAGAUUUGAACCUCCUAGCGUUUUAGGGCCCUCAUUGUCGGGCAAGAUCCGGAUUCAAGCGACCUUGCCACCGUUGAGGAAUGAAAGCUUCUUCUACGAUUCCUAAAGAAUUUUGCCAAAAUAUGAGGCACUGUUGUGAUGCCUCCUACUAGGGUUUUGCCUUCACCCUAAGACGAUUAGGGUUGAAGACGGUAUGUGAAAUAAAUGGCUUUGCGCUUGCAUUAGCUACAUCAUCCUUGUUGCCACCGAAUCACCGAGAGAUCUCCCUUCGAGUGAGAGUGAGAGGGCAAAAGAACAUAAAUAUUAAAAGAACUAUAAAGAACUAGAACAACUAAAUAAAUUAAUCAUAGAGAGAGAGCUUAUAAAAAAACACGAUUAGAGAAUGAAUAGUAUGAAUACACAAAAUAAUAAUAAUUUAAUCAAGAUACCUUUUCAUUUUUAAUUUUGUCAGCUUUGACAUAAAUUAGUUGUAGAAUUAAAGAGAUCCAAGGAAUAUUUUUGUAAGGAUAAGUGACGAAAUGACAUUUAAACUCAUAACCUCAUUGAAAGUUUUUACUAGCUAAUAUAGUUAGCAUGGAAGGAGUGCCACCUGAUAAGAUAAUUAGUCUCUUAAUUUAUUUAAAUUAAAAUUAAACUAAGAUAAUUAGUCCCUUCCUAAUGUUGGAAGAUGUCUUCUUCUCUUCUUUUCGAGAGAGAUUGAGAUACUACGAGCAUCUUGUUAUCCCUUUUAAGUCUGAAUUCAAAUAUAAAUUGAAUCUCAAUUUGAUUGAAAAUUUUAAUCAAACAAUAUUUGAUUCAAAUUAAAAAAGGAGAUAAAAAUUUUUAAAGGCGUGAAUAAUGAUUCUCUAUCCUUCAUGCAUGUUUGAUAAAAAGAUCAUCCGAGAUAUAGGAAAGUCGACGAGGAAUAAACUUAUUCAAGACAACAAAAAAUAGGAAGGCAAUAGUACUGAGAGUCUCGAUCCACAUGUGCGCCAAUGAUGUAUUGUUAUUAACACCAAAGCUCUUAACAAAUAAAUAUAAAAUUAAGUAGAUAAAAUCCUAUAAAAAAAAUAAGUAAAAAUAAAAAAGAUAAAAUUUUAUUUUUUAAAAUAUUUAGAUAAUAGCUUUACUCAAAUUUUACAUACCCAACCUCAACCAGUUUGUCACCUCUUUAUUGACUUCCUCAAACACUUUCUUUUAAAGUAUAACAAGUUAGUUUUUUUUCGUUUUUGUCGAACUAUAAUAGUUAUUACGUCUGCAAUUUCGGAUCUACUGUUCUUUCCCUAUUUUAUAAGAUCAUCACUUAUUCCAAUGAGUAUAUCAUUAGAUUCAGUCAUUUUGAUAUAAACUCUAAUUAUUUAACUGAUGGUUAUGCUAACCUUUGUAGGUUGCUUGGCUCUCCUCACACUUGGAAAUGCUUGGAAGCCAAUGCCCCCUUUUCCAGCACAUAUUGAUUCAUUAUAUAUAUAUAUAUAUAUAUAUAUAUAUAUAUAUAUAUAUAUAUAUAUAUAUAUAUAUACUUAAAAUUUUUAUAAAAAUUGAAAGCAAAUUUCAUGACAUGAAAUGAUGUAUAUAAUAUUCACACAUGGAUCUAAGUCUGAAACCUAUCAAUACACUGACCAAUAUUACCCAUAUGGAUUUAAGUUUAAAAUCUAUUACUUGUAUAAUAAUGCACUAACCAACUCGCAAAUCUCAAUAAAGAUUAAAAGAAUUAAUUAGAUCGCUGGCUCUCGUAAGUAUGUAAAUAAUUUAAAAGAAUAUGUUAUUUAUAUAACAUGUGAAAUUUUUAUGGGACUCGAUAAAACUAUAGAUCAUACUUUUUUAUUUUAUUCUAUCAUUUUUUUAAUUUUUUUCUGAAAGAAAUUGGUCAUCCAUCUUUUUAAAUAAAAAGAAAGAAUAAGAAACUUGAUCCAAUCAAAUCAAAUGGGCAAUUGAGAUUGAAAGCACAAGCGAGAUGUAUGGUUUUUUUUAGGACCUUCGCUACCAUAUAAAUAUUACAAAAUUAUUAUUAUAGUAAAAUAAUUUUUUUUCUCUUUGUAUAUUAAAAUAAGUUUUUCAUCAAAAUAUUAACCAUAAAAGUAUAAACAGUAGAAUAAUAAAUCAAUCACAAAAUGAGAUACUGAAUAUAAUAAAUUUAAAAUAAAUCUUCUUCAAAAUUUUUAGAAUAUUAUAAUAACAUCAAGAACACAUAUCUCAGCUCAAUAUUAACAUAUCAUCAUCACCAUAGAUGGAUUUAAUGAAAAAAAAAAAUUUAGAUUUCACAAAGCGGAUAUAAUAGGAAAGUAUUUUAGAGAGAAUAAACUAUAUAUCGGUAUCAUUAAGAUUAUAAAGCUUAUUGUAAAAAUUCUUCACCUAAAAUUUAGGUCAAAAUGAACGAAGUUUAGUCGUUCCAUCGAGCAAAAGCUUCCAAACCUUAACUUUCGUACUCUUUUUCUUUGUUCUUUCUUUUCUGUGUCCCUGCAGUUUCACCACAUGCACUUAUUCACACACCACUAUCUUCCUACGUCUCCGCUUUUUUUUUUUUUUUUUAAUACAUCAGACUUGGGCUCAAUGCCCAAAUCAAUCGGGCCAAGCCUACCCAUGGGCUGUACCUAAUAGGUCUUUAAAUUAUGCAUACCAAUGGACGAGACGUUGACUUGGGAUCAACUGUUGAAUAGUCAACGAUAAGGAUAGCAACUACAACUAAUGUGAAUUUGGAACGAAAUAUAGCAGCUCGUGGAGGGCAUUUUCUUUUUUCCGGUUUAGAUUUGUGAUUUUUCUUUUUGCCAUAAGGAAUCAUUUUGGAUAUGCAUGGGAUGUAUGUAAGCUUCUUGUUGUUUUAGUCUUGCGCAUACACAUGCCUUUGAAUUAUUUGGCAGAGAGACUUAGGUUGACUUGUAUCUAAUUUUUGUUAAAUAUCAAAACUUGUAAUUUAACGAACCCUAAAUCUCUUAAGCCUCUUUUACCUCUACCUUAUCUCCUCCUCCCUUCUUCUUCUUCUUAUUUCUAAAUUAGUAUUUCAUUAGCCAUCUAUUUCCACUACUUUGAUUUCAACUACCAGUUUUACAUAGAAAAAGAAAUAUAAAUUACAAUAAUGAGAGUUACAAUUCAUUAUACAUUUAUUUAUCAUUCCUGUAAUAGAAGUAACAUAAGUUACAAAACAAGCAACCAAUAAUAUUCUGUUCUGCUAAUUCGAUUUUUACAUAGAAAGAGAACCUAGUUUCUUUAUCUUCUUCAUCUUCCCGCUUUUACAUCAAAUCCCAAUUUGUUCUCUGAACUGUGGUACCCGACAGAAUCCAAGGUACAGCUCAUAGAUGAUUCACCAAGCAAUGCUUCACGUUCCUCGGGUGCAUGGUACGUUGAAGAGACCUGUAGGAACCCUCCUAAUAUAUGCAGUUUCUCAGUCACUUCUCUCAUUGUAGGCCUUUCAUCCCCGUUCAUGUUCAAACAUUCCUUUGCAAGCUCGGCAAUUUCAUGGAUGACAUCCAUGUUUUCUUUUCCCAUGAUUUGAUCAUCCAAUAUCUCUUCAAGUCGGCUAUCUUUCAUUGCUUCGAUGAAGCUUGAGGCAAGAGCUUUUCCUUGACUACUCCCAUCAUAAUAAAUUGCCUUUUUUCUUGUGAUGAGUUCCACUAUAACUACUCCAAAGCUAUAGACAUCACUCUUUGCUGUCAGUUGACGGACUAGCAAGUACUCUGGGUCCAAAUAACCAAGAGUUCCCUGAACCAUCGUUAUGAAUUGGGUUUCAUCCAAAGACACCAUCCUCGAUGCACCAAAAUCCGAUACCUUUGACACAUAAUUAUGAUCUAGAAGUAUGUUGAGUGACUUCACAUCUCCAUGAACGAUCGGAGGGGAUGCCGAUGAAUGCAAGUAAGUGAGUGCUUCAGCAGAUUCUCUAGCUAUUCGUAGACGAGUAGUCAAGGGAAUUAGUGUCCCGUCGUUACCAUGGAUGAAGUCGAAGAGGGUUCCAUUGGGGAUGAACUCAUAAACCAACAUGGGAAUUUCUACUUCCAAGCAACAACCCAAGAGCCUUACAAUGUUCUUGUGAUUGAUCUGAGAAAGAAUAAUCAUCUCCCGUACGAAUUCUUCACUUUGGUCCUUGGUGACUAUCUUAGACCUCUUGAUGGCCACUUCCCUGCCACCGUCUAUGUUUCCUUUAUAAACAGUGCCAUGGCCUCCUUGGCCAAGUUCUCGACUCUUAUUGAAAUUAUCUGUUGCCUUCUCUAGAUCCUCUUUGGUGUAUAUUUUGACAGUAUCAAUUUGCUUUGAUCUGAUUUCUUCGUAUAACCUUAAGCCUCCAUUUUGCUGGAAGAAUUUAUCUUUUUCUUUGAGAAGCUUCCUUCUUUGAAAUGCUAAGAUUAUGCAGAAGAUGCAAGUGAUGAACGAGACAAACCCAACACAAAUGCCUGCACAAAGGGAUCAGUUUCAUGUCAAUUAUUUUACAAACUCUUCCGGAGAUCGAAUUACGAGUUUUCAAAAUAGAAGAUUGUUACCGACUAUUAAUGAAGAUUAAAAGGAUAAAAAAAAUUCAAGCUUUGUUUAAGUAGAACGGCUUAUUCGAAAUAAAAACUUGAAUCCGAAUACAUUAUUUUUCCUAUUGAUUGAAGUUUUAAGAGAAGGUUUAAACUAAUACGGAAGGAAGGAAGGAUGAGAACUUGUACCUAUAACAAUCUUCGUUGAUGUCGGAAUUCCGUGAUCUCGGACACAUGGUUCCGAUUUAGGGUCCUUGCUGCUUUGACCUUUUGGGCAUGAGCAGCUGUAGUUGCCUGCUGUGUUGCUGCACGUUCCAUGACAUGUAUAGAGAUUUGGCGAGCUGCACUCGUCGAUAUCUAAGGAUUGUCAAAGAAUCACGAGGGAAAAUUGUAAGACCACAUACAACAAUCGAAAAUAGGAGAGUUGGGGGAGAGAUGCAUGCUGACCUUUGCAGCCAUCCUGGAGGUAAGGAUUGCCUUGGAAACCUGUGGAGCAAUUGCAGAUAUAGCCAGGUGGACUGGUGGAGUCGAUACAGUCACUGUUGCCGCAUGCAUAUGAAGAAAGGUUUCUCUUAGCCUCCUCGCAGAUCUGGUUGCCGGCUACCCAGUCCAGCACGAGUGGGACGCCGUCCUUGUACUUGUCUCCAAAGGUGUGGUUGCCGAGGUCAGACUUGUUGAAGGAGAACCAGUCCUGCUCGGCAAUGAAGGCAUAGGUGCAGGGGCUGUAGUCCUUGUAGGUAGUAAGAUUGACGAAAUAGGCCAACCGGGUCGUGAAAUUGUCCAGCUUCUCCGGGAUGGUGGUCUGGCAGCAGCCGGUGCCAGAGCACGAUCCGCUUGCGAUGCUUGCCCCUUCGAGGCAGAAGGAGGCGCACCCGGUUCCUAAUGUAUAGUUGUCCCCGCCAAAGAGGUAGCCAAGGACGUUGCAGCCCAUGGUCGUGAACCUGUUCUUGGUGCUGGAUACCCAAAAUGGUUUGUCGCCAAGGGCUAGAGAAGGUUCUUCACCAGCCACCCAGUAGUCGGUACUGUUGAAACAAUCCCAGCUAAUGUAAUUCAGGAUGCGUGCUUGGCCCUGGGGCAAGAUUAUCUCCUCAAUUGUAAUGUUCCUCUCGCGGCCGCCCAAGAAAGCUCUGGGAGUCGCAGAGCCGUUAACGACUUCGCAAGUGACCUCGAAGCCUUCCCUGAAACACCCAUCGCCGAUGCCGAAGGGGUACGGGAUGCUAACACCGCCGCAUGUAUCAUUGCAACCUGGUGACACCACGUUCGGCGACGGUGGUGCCGAUGCUGCUGCAGUCGUUGUUGCUUGGAGCAGCGUCAACAACAGCAGCUUAAACGCGAUCGGUGGCAGCGUGGAUCCCAUCGCUUAUGCUUGCUUGAAAUUAAUGGUACCCUUAGGCUUCCAUCAGAUUUAUAAGCCCACAGAUGGAAAAGCGAGCAUAAUUCCUCGUUCAACUGUUGUUGCUUAGAAUAAUUGCUUGAUCGAAUCCUCGUUCUGCAGCCCAAGUGAAGACUUGUCAAGGCGAAGCCAUCACACGGCAAAUACAAGAAGACCCUGUCGCUUGGAAAACUGGACAGUGACUGGUACAGAUCCCGUCCAAGUCUUCUUUAAGAUUCCUGAAGGUUGGAGCUGUGAUCGGUACAGGAGUCCUCCUCGCAGUUUUGACUCUGGAAUCCACACCCAACCGUAGACUUGCUUGCUUAAUCCAAGAUACAAAUAAUUAUUGCCAAAUUUUCAGUAAAAGCCCCUCUCUCUCUCUCUCUCUCUCUCUCUCUCUCUCUCUCUCUCUCUAUAGUUUUAUCCCUGCUUAAUGCUCGCUGAUUNNNNNNNNNNNNNNNNNNNNCUCUCUCUCUCUCUCUCUCUCUCUCUCUCUCUCUCUCUCUCUAUAGUUUUAUCCCUGCUUAAUGCUCGCUGAUUGGCAUGGUCGAGAGGUGGAAUAUUUAGCUACUCAAAGAUGGCGACAUGCUAUUUGUACUGUGUUUUAACAAUUAAGGCCAAUAAAGUUGAUGAGUAUUAUUAAUUAUGUGAAAUCCUACGUAUUAUAUUAUGAAUUUGUUUAAAAGCAUUAUUACAUUAAACGGAGUAUAAGAUGCUCACAUGAAUUCGAAUCAAGAUCCAUCAAUUGUGAAACCAUGCAGUAACCAUUAGAAUGUCUCUAUAAAUAUAUUAUAUCAAGUAGUUAGUCACAAAUUUGGUUAUAGUUUGGUUCAGUCGUCUAAUGGAAACUACUCCGAAAGACAAACAAAGAAGAAGAAAGAGAAAGACAUUGAAUUUAUGUAGUUCCUAUCAUCAUCAUCAUCAUCUUAGCUUCUUAAUUGCCAUUUUUGAAAUGAUCAAAAGUCAAACAAGCCACCAUCUCAAAAUUUAUAGUCGGAGAAAAAACAAGAGAGCUAGAAGUAAGUAAGGAAUUUGACCGGGUCAAAUUUGAUUAUUCUAUUGAAUGAGGAAUCCGUAAAUAUAAAAAUAAAUGGGUUAUUUGAAGAAAUUUUUAUAUAUCUCGUUAUCACGAGAAGUAGUCAUCAAAUUUGUCACCACUAUGUCCUAUUUUGGAUAUGAGAGUUCAUGAGAAUAUAGCGUAUGAGUAUAGCCAACUAUUUUUAAAAGCGAAAGAAAUAUUAUUACGAUGAUAAUAUAUUUUUAAAAAAAUAAAAUAUAUUUUUAUUAUAUUAAAUGACAUUUCACAUGUGAAUUUGAAUCUUAGACUCAUUAUUGGAAGUUCACAUGUGAAUUUGAACACAUAGCCAACUACUUUUAAAAGCGAAAGAAAUAUUAUUACGAUGGUAACAUAUUUUUAAAAAAUAAAAUAUAUUUUUAUUAUAUUAAAUGAUAUUUCACGUGUGAAUUUGAAUCUUAGACUCAUUAUUGGAUGUUCACAUUGUGAAUUUGAAUGCGAGAUUCAUUUAUCGAGCGUUCACUUCAACCUGAAACUUAUUAUUAUAUAAUAAUACGUUAACCAAUCAGAUAUUUUUAGAGACGAUAGCAAUAUGUUUCAUACUGCUUCAUAUUGGAGCCAUUCAUAUCCUCAUUAUUCACAUCAAUAAUUUUUUAUUUUGGAAUUUAUUACGAAUGCUCUCAGCUGCUACAUAGCAUACUGUUAGAAUCCAUAAUAUUCUUAAUUAUCAAGAAGCCAACAGAGAAUAAAUAAGUUAGAGGAGAAGCACCAAAUUAAAUAUUUUUUUUAUCCUGCUAAUAUUGUCUUUUCAACAAAGGAAGUGUUGCCAUUUUACUUGGAAGUUCUUCAUCUUCCAACUUCUAUAUCAAAUCCUAUUUUGUUCUGUAAACUAUGGUGUCCUGUAGUGUGUAAGGUGGGAACCGUUGAUGAUUCACCAAGCAGUCUUUCACACUCUUCAGGAACAUGUUGCAUCGAAGAGCGUUGUUGGAGAGCCCUCUUCGCGUAUAUGGAGCUUCUCGGCCAAUUCUCUCAUUGGAGGAGGCCUUUUUAUCUCCCUCAACAUUCAACACUCCUUUGCAAGCUCGGCAAUUACUUGGAGGAUAUCCAUGCUCUCCUCCCCUGUGAUUCGAUCAUCCAACAUCUCAUCAAGCUUGUUAUCUUUUAAAAUUCACAACUUGUGUUCAGCCAGUCGACAAGCUUCAAAAUCGUGAUUCUUUCAAGAAGAUCAAUGGAAUCCAUAACAUUAUGAGGACAAAAAGAAUAGAACUUCUGGAUUCGAAACUGGUCCGGAUUUGACUCUGGAAUCAUUUCAAAAAUAUGCAGAUGACUUCAAGGAGCAGUACUACUUUCACACAAUUGCAGACUUUGAUGUAAUAUCUGGUCAACAGGAACCAUCAGUAGAGAAUAUUGAUGGUGAAUAUUGGCGGAUAGUAGAGAAGCCAACUGAGGAGAUUGAGGUGCUAUUCUAGAUCACACAAACCGUAACGAAUCUAGUUGUGCACUAGUGUUUCUGUUGAUUAUAGUAUUAUUAGAUGCAUUUCAUACUUCGCAUAAAAUUGCAAAAAUAUCUGGACUUGUCUCUUCUUCCAAUUCGAAGAACAACCAGACUUGCUUCACAAUCUUGUAAUAGCUUUUUGCCUUAUCUUUUCUCUCUGCAUGAAUGUUAUCUUGGGAAGAUGAUGUUUUCUAGCUUAUUUUCUUUCAGAAAUUCAACUGGAAAGUAUUCAGCAUGUCUGAUGUUUACUGGUGUGUUCAGAGGCCCAGAAGAGUUUGUUCUCACUUUCCCUCGAGCUUAUCACGCUGGUUUUAAUUGUGGAUUCAAUCGUGCAGAAGCUGUAAAUAUGGCUCCUCUUGAUUGGUUACCUCAUGGGCAGAAUGCUGUGGAACUUUAUCGUGAACAGGGACGAAAAAUAUCAAUAUCCCUUUCAACUGGAGCUGCAAGGGAAGCUGACUUGUUUUCAAGGCAGUCAGAUUGUGAUGAUAAGACAACUUCCCAUGCUCACAAGGAUAAAAUUCUUCUAGUGCCCCAGACUAAUGUGUUGUUGGCAAACGAAAAUGAUCUGUUGGCUGGCCUGCAUGUUUCUCGUAAUAGGUUAAUGAUGAUGACCAGGUAGAGGAAAACUGCAGAGAGGUUCUCUCCAAUUUAUGUGAUCAACAGUAGGUUGAAUUCCUUCCUGGAAGGGAAAGUGAAUGUGUGAGAUCUGCAGCCAGUGUAGUACCUGUUGCAAAAACCAAGUGCAGAUAUUUUGCCUGCAUAUGAAGCAUCUGAUUGUGUUACUGAACCUAUUCAUCCUCAAAUUAUCCAGAAUUAUGGAAGAGGAGAACCAAAAGAUAAAAGCCAGAAGGGACAAGCUGAGUUCAAUUCUGAGGCUAACAUUGAUAGAGGCAAUUCAUCUACUGAAAUCCAACCUUGUACACAAAGAAAUCUUGAUAUAUGUAACUAUGAGCAGAUGGGCCCUCGAUUGGAAAUGGUGGUGCAAAAGUAACUGCAAUAUUGAGGUUUUGGCAUAUGGUAUUGUGCUUUCUGGAAAGUUUGCUGUUGAUGUUGGGAACAGGAUUCUUGAUUCAUUUCAGGAAAGUUUCUGCUGGAUUUGAAAGUUACUCGGGACAUAAAUUUUUUCUUGUUAUUGUGUACUUUUGCUUUUUGUCUCAUCAUUCACCUGAUAUUUGUCUCAUUAUGCAGGAUAUAGAAGUCAAGUUAAAUACAUUAGCAUUUUAGAUCCAACACAGAUGUGUUACUGUGUAUCUGAAAUUUUGGAUGUUGGAUUACUUGGACUUCUAUUGACAGUGAGUAAUUUUGUCUCUUUGUACCUAUGUCACUGUUUAUGUCAACCAUGCAUCCAGACAUUGUACAUGAUGCUAGAUUAAGAAGCAUCAUUGUAAGUUAUUAUCACAGUAUAAGCAUGACACAUUUUAUCAGUAAGUUGAUCUUAGUAGUCCUUUUGAAUUUAUUCCUUAUCAACUAGUUCACGAUUGAAUUUAUUCGAUGUGUUUGGUGCACCCAUGAAACACAAGAUUCUUCAUUAUUGCAAUAGCAGACUUGUUAUCAUAGUAGAUUUUAGUUAGUCCAUCUUAUUUUUGUUGGAGAUCUAUUAGAAUUCUUACGAGACAAAUUAUUCGACAUGCUAUACUUGUAGUUGCAAUAUGCUCCGCCUCUCUUAAUGUAUCUAAGAACUUUGCUCGCUAAGACUAUCCGUGCAUGAAUCUAUAUAGCAAACCAAAUGCAAAUAUAAUAUCCUAUCUUGAAUGUGUAAGAUAAAUAAACUCUCUAAUUAAACUUGUAUAUUGUUGUUUUUUCAACUCUAUCAUUUAAUAUGGAGUAUUCAUUGGUUUAUAAGUCAUCAUAUAACAUUGUUUUAACAAAUCUUUAGUAUAUUUUAUACUUACUUUGUGUUUUUUCUUUUUGCCAAAAAAAAAAAGGGAAUCAUUUUGGAUAUGCAUGGGAAGCAUGUAAGCCUGCUGUUGUUUUUGUCUUGAUGCAUACACAUGACUUUAAAUUAUUUGGCAGAGAGACUUAGGUUGACUUGUAUCUAAUUUUUGUUAAAUAUCACAUCUUAUAAUUUGUCGUACCCUAAAUCUCUUAGCUUCUUUUACCUCUACCUUUAUCUCCUCCUCUCUUCUUCUUGUUAUUUCUAAAUUAGUAUUUCAUGAGCCAUCUAUUUUCAGUACUUUGAUUUCAACUACCACAAAUAAUCUUACCUUGAAUAGGACUCUUAAAUCAAUAUCUAAUCUAAUCAUAAAGCUUAAGUUAAUAUUCCAAUACUUCCUUCAAACUCGAGUUUUACAUAGAAAAAGAAAUACAGAUUACAAUACUGAGAGUUACAAUCCAUUAUAUAUUUAUUUAUCAUUCCUGUAAUAGAAGUAACACAAGUUACAAAACAAGCAACCAAGAACAGUCUGUUGUUCUACUAGUUCGAUUUGAAAAUAGAGAGAGAACCUUGUUUCUGUAUCUUCUUCAUCUUCCAGCUUUUACAUCAAAUCUCAAUUUGUUCUCUAAACUGUGGUACCCGACAGAAUCCAAGGUAGAGCUCAUAGAUGAUUCACCAAGCAAUGCUUCACAUUCCUCGGGUGCAUGGUGUGUUGAAGAGACCUGUAGGAACCCUCCUAACAUAUGCAGUUUCUCAGCCACUUCUCUCAUUGUAGGUCGUUCAUCCCCCUUGAUGUUCAAACAUUCCUUUGCAAUCUCGGCAAUUUCUUGGAUGAUGUCCAUGUUUUCUUUCCCCGUGAUUUGAUCAUCCAAUAUCUCUUCAAGUCGGCUAUCUUUCAUUGCUUCAAUGAAGCUUGAGGCAAGACCUUUUCCUU
rnacentral:lncRNA from 1 species